ensembl:lncRNA
AUGGGCUGUGUAGUAUCUUCACAAAGAGUAGUCUACCACAUAAAUGAGUUGAAGUCAAUCUUUACUUCUAUCUUCAGAAACUGCACAGGAAUCGGCAUCGCAGGCCGUCACUUUCAAGGACUUCGUUACACCAACUUCAAGAAACUGCACAGGAAUCGGCAACGCAGGCCGUCACUUUCAAGGACUUCGUUACACCAACUUCAAGGUAAGAACACAACACUUAUAACACAACAACGACCCCUUGUGGUUACUCCACAAUACUACAGGCUGCGGGAAAAUAAUGAAUAAAAAGAGAAGGGCUGCUGUGAGUGCAGGCAUGUUUCAACCCAGUAACAUGACAACACACUGUUCCUCACAGCCAACAAACAGACCGAAUUCAGUUCAGCUGGAGGGGGCUGGGGGUAGUUCUGUAUAGCUUGUGGGGGUCGAGAUAAAGGUGUGAAUUUCUUGCUCUUUCAUAUGGACAGUCUUAUGAGGGUUUCAAACUUGCAGAACAGGUUUUAGGACAACUUUAAAGAAAGGUUUGAUCACUUCAAAUGUUGACUACUGUAUAGCGCAAUAAAGUUUAUUAGUUAUGAUAACUUAAUUUCAGAGGAAGUUGUCUUAACUUAAAAAAAAAAAAACUGUUGCAUUAGGGCUGGGCGAUAGGCCUAUGGCCUAAAAAAAUCCCCGAUUUUUUUCACAAAAAAAUCCGAUUUACAAUUUAAAUCGAUUUUUUUUGCCUCCCUACUUAAAAUCAAUAUUCAAAUGACAAAGAAAAUGUUCAAAACAAGUUUUAAUAUAAAAAUAUAUUAUUUUUUAAUACUAGCCCAUCACGCCAUCCACUCGGCGUUAAGAGCUGUUCAGAUUAAAACUGGCAGCUCCGCAGUGAGUCAGUGUCAUGGACGGAGGACAGACCAAGUGUAGGCCUAAAUCAGUUUUCUAGUCUAUAUUUUCAUCUCGUUAUGCCGCUGGUUUAGGUUAUGUAUUUAUUUUUAUUUCUUAUAUCAAUUAUUUGUAAAUAUAGCAGACACUGUCUAACCGUGUCUACACCGGACGGCCUUGUUCAUAUAGGGCGAAACAUCUCUCUCACUCGGCAGUACAGUAGGCCUAUGUGAGCCGGCAGCAGAGAGUAUGUGAGAGUGGAGCAGCAACAAUUUCCCUCCGCGCUCCGAGCAUUUAAUAAUCACUAAGCUCCGUGACUAAAGUUGAAAUGUUAUGUUCAUAAUAGCUUAUAAAUAUAAAAUAAAAAUAAAUAAAUAAAUACAAUUACAGGAGAGUUUCAAAGGGGAUUAGGCUAUUGUGUGCAAACUUUUUUUCCUACCAAACCCCAAACUAAUAAAAUUGUCAGCAUUAAAAGGUAUAAUUGCUGCUUUCUGCUGUGCAAAUUUUGUUUGUGAUGAAAAUAACAGUUUACAUUUUCGUCAGUUAUUUUAUCUACAGAUCGAUGCAUUUGUUACAGAUUUCUGCUCAUUCAAAAUCAGAUACAGAUGAAGUAGCCUAUUGUAAGAUUACAUUUGUUUGAAUGCAUUAUUGCGACAGCGAUUACGUGUGAAUGUGCUGUAUCUGUUUAAAUCAUGCUUUUACCCAAAAAUAAUCAGUAAAAGGAAGACAAAUUCCUUGAGAACUAGCCUGUAACAUCCCGCUCGACUAUUGCCGUCAUUAUAGUCUUCUGAUCGGAGAGAUUAUGUGUAUCAAGCUAUAGCUAAAUAUGUUUGUCAUGUGAAUUCUUGCUAAAUAUGCAGUUAUAUUACGGGCUGUUGGCAUGAAUUGUAUUCGUGAUGGAGCGGUGCUGGAGCGAGUGAAAACCACGACACUCCUGACUUUUAAAAAAUCCGCUCCUCUUCAGUCAGAAUCACUCCGCUCCGCUCAUACUCUGCUCAGCAGCGUGUCUCAAACGCGCGGGGAGGCUUGAGCCCAAUCAUUCUCAAAACAUAAAAUAUUUA